GCCAGCAUGGCAUAGUGGUUUGAGUGUUGAGCUACGACUCAAAGGCCAGGGUUUGAUUCCCAGCUCAGCCA